GCCUCAGUGGUCUAGUGGUAGCACACGUCCCCGCCAUGGAUGAUACGCGGGUUUAACUCCCGUCUGAGGUC